rnacentral:rRNA from 1 species
UACGAAGGGGGCUAGCGUUGCUCGGAAUCACUGGGCGUAAAGGGCGCGUAGGCGGCCUGAUAAGUCGGGGGUGAAAGCCUGUGGCUCAACCACAGAAUUGCCUUCGAUACUGUUAGGCUUGAGACCGGAAGAGGUGAGUGGAACUGCGAGUGUAGAGGUGAAAUUCGUAGAUAUUCGCAAGAACACCAGUGGCGAAGGCGGCUCACUGGUCCGGUUCUGACGCUGAGGCGCGAAAGCGUGGGGAGCAAACGGG